rnacentral:rRNA from 1 species
AUGAACGCUAGCGGCAGGCCUCAUACAUGCCAGUCGGACGGGAUUCAGGAGCUUGCUUCUGAUGAGAGUGGCGCACGGGUGCGUAACACGUAUGUAACCUACCUUUAUCAGGGGGAUAGCCUCUCGAAAGAGAGAUUAAGCCCGCAUAAAAUCACAGCACAGCAUUGUGUAAUGAUCAAAUAUUUAUAGGAUAAAGAUGGGCAUGCGGAACAUUAGCUAGAUGGCGGGGUAACGGCCCACCAUGGCGACGAUGUUUAGGGGAUCUGAGAGGAUGGCCCCCCACACUGGUACUGAGACACGGACCAGACUCCUACGGGAGGCAGCAGUAAGGAAUAUUGGUCAAUGGGCGGAAGCCUGAACCAGCCAUGCCGCGUGCAGGAAGACGGCCCUACGGGUUGUAAACUGCUUUUAUACGGGAAUAAACCCAGAUACGUGUAUCUGGCUGAAUGUACUGGAAGAAUAAGGAUCGGCUAACUCCGUG